GAUGAACGCUGGCGGCGUGCCUAACACAUGCAAGUCGAGCGAACACACGAGGAGCCUUCCUUCUUUACUUACGCGUCGCACGCGUGUGUAACAUGUGUAUAACCCAGCUUUAUGACUGGGAUAACCUCGUGAAACCGGUGCCAAUUCCCGCUUAUCGAUUCAAGCGCAUAGUUCGGUAGUUUAAGGCCGCUUUGCUUUCAAUGAUAGCUGAUUCCGUGCCGCAUUAGCUAGUUGGUCAGGUAACGGCUUACCAAGGCAACGAUGCGUAGCCGAUCUGAGAGGAUGAUCGGCCACACUGGAACUGAGACACGGUCCAGACUCCUACGGGAGGCAGCAGUAGGGAAUCUUGCGCAAUGGGCGCAAGCCUGACGGAGCAACGCCGCGUGUGUGAUGAAGGUCUUCGGAUCGUAAAACUCUGUUAGCAGGGAGGAACAAAUGUGUGAGUAACUAUGCACGUAUUGACGGUACCUAAUCAGAAAGCCACGGCUAACUACGUG
rnacentral:rRNA from 1 species